ACUCCUACGGGAGGCAGCAGUGGGGAAUAUUGCACAAUGGGCGCAAGCCUGAUGCAGCAACGCCGCGUGAGUGAUGAAGGCCUUCGGUCGUAAAGCUCUGUCCUCAAGGAAGAAUAAAUGACGGUACUUGAGGAGGAAGCCCGGCUAACUACGUGCCAGCAGCCGCGGUAAUACGUAGGGGGCAAGCGUUAUCCGGAAUCACUGGGGCGUAAAGGGGUGCGUAGGCGGUUUUCAAGUCAGAAGUGAAAGGCUAUGGCUCAACCAUAGUAAGCUUUUGAAACUGUUAAACUUGAGUGCAGGAGAGGAAAGUGGAAUUCCUAGUGUAGAGGUGAAAUUCGUAGAUAUUAGGAGGAACACCAGUGGCGAAGGCGACUUUCUGGACUGUAACUGACGCUGAGGCACGAAAGCGUGGGGAGCGAACAGGAUUAGAUACCCUGGUAGGACAGAG
rnacentral:rRNA from 1 species